rnacentral:lncRNA from 1 species
UGGGUGCUAGUAAGACCAUUAUUUUUAUUUUUAUUUCUGAUGAACGAAGAGGAUAUAGCCGUUUUGCAUUGCCAUGGCCCAUCUCCUGAAUUAGUAAAUAAUGUGUCCGAGUCCGACAUAUCAGUUAGUACACUAUAAAUAUAUAUAUAUAUCUGGCUUUUUGCCUCUUUUUCUCUUUUAUUUAUGAUAGGAUUUAUGAGGCGGCCGUGGGUCCCUGUUUUGAUUACAUCCCAUGCAAAAAAUCCUACCCAAUACUAGCUGAGUGAGAGAUGGAUCUGAAUUGCUUCAAAGGUAUACAAAACGCACAUUGAUUUCCUCUGCAAUGCAAUGCAAUGCAAUUGGCCAAUUGCAUGGUCCACUAUACUAGUAGUACAUACAGGAAACACAAAGGCUGACAGAUAUAUCAGCCACAAUAACUCAACUAUAAUCAUACGACGCAAUGAUUCUUCAAAAAGAAGAAUGAAAAAAAAAGAUGACAUGCCCCAUUUGCAAAUUCAUAGCACAUUACUUAAGGCCCCACCCCACUCGAAUUAUAUUAGUUAUUAUUGUUGAUACUGUGCAUCGUCAGCCAGUUGAUUAGGUUAUUUUUGUUGAAAUUAAUUCACCUGGACUGAAAUUCUUAACUUACCACAGAUGCUCACGUUUUAGCAGUAUAGUAACGAUACAAGCAGUGUGCCCAUCGACACUAAUAACGAUAACGUCGCAUCUGCUUUUUUUAAGAGAAAAAAAAAGAGAAAAUAUUUUUAUUCCUAUGCUGUGUACUCAAAAAGGAAAAGGUGGGUGGGUGCAAAGGGGGGAAAGGUGGGGGACACACACGAUUCAUCCGGAGACGAGAGAGGAAGAAACACGGUUUAGUUUCGUGUUGCCUCUGGUUGUGGCUCCCUGUGGCUUGCCCUGCUGUCAUCCGGUUGCCCUCCCUGCCUCAAGAAACAGAGUUUUAGUUACA